rnacentral:lncRNA from 1 species
AUUUGUGCUUCAUAUAUUAUUAACUUUUUUCAAUACUCCAUUUAGAUAGAAGGUAAAACAGUGGUAUUCAAACACUGGCAAGGCAUGUAUAUUAUCAGAUUAUUACAUGGCAUUUUUCAUAUCGCAUGUAUUAUCAGCCCUAGGUUCAAUAUCAGCCCAAGAGCCGCAUGGCUCGAGGGCUGAUAAUACAUGAGAUAUGAAAAAUGACAUGUUAUGAUCUUUUUAUCAUAUGCUUCAACAAUGGAGAAAAAUAACAGAUUCAUAUAUUGAUCCUUUUACGUGGUUCCAAAAUAGAAGUUCAAAGAUUGAAAUGUUCACUGACGUCGGACCCCAG